GCCAGGGUCCCCCGGGCGCCCCAACAGCGGUUACGGGAUGGACAGCCUGCCCGCCAUGGCCAUCUUCGAACUGCUGGACUAUAUUGUGAAAGAGCCGCCUCCUAAGCUGCCCAACGGUGUGUUCACCCCCGACUUCCAGGAGUUUGUCAAUAAAUGCCUCAUCAAAAACCCAACGGAGCGGGCGGACCUAAAGAUGCUCACAAACCACGCCUUCAUCAAGCGGUCCGAGGCUUGCCUUCUCUCAAACCAUCAGGCAAAACAUACCCUGAUGAACACAUCAAAUUCAGCAUCAAAGUGGACGCUUACAACUUUAAUGCUCACUACGAAUUAACCUCAAAAUAGCUACGUAAAUAAAAUUAGCAGGAUUAUCAGAGAA
ensembl:lncRNA novel transcript